GACCUGUGUCUAGGGGCCGUGGGAAAAUUGGCAAAGAAAGGAUCCAGCCUAAGGUGACUUCCCAGAUAGCUCCUGCUCUACUGCUCUCUUGGUAGUUUCACACGGUGUGAGGCAGAACAACAUUCCAAUCAUGUGAAGCUCAUUCAUGAAGAGAAUUCUGCCUGGACCUGAAGGCAGAAGGUUGCCAGAUAGUUCUGAGGGGUUCAGAGGCCUGCCUGCUCAUCAAAGCCAAGGACGGAUGUGCCAGUUGUUCUUUCAGGAAACCUACAAAUAGUAUUCCUUACUCCUUGAAUCUUGAUCCUAUUGAGACAGGAAGAAACUAAAUUAGGCCCAGUUUUGGAUUGAGGAUGGAAUCAGCAGCACCAGAUACUGACAUCUUCCCUGAACAGAAUUCAAGCAAAACUCCAAGAUUUUUUUACCUGAACCAUUAGAAGGAUGGACUUGCCAUCAGCUGUGAUGCAAAGAAUUAGAGAUUGAUGAGAUUAUUGGGGGAAUGAUAAAGUAUUCAUUUUUAGAUUAUUUUACUUUCAGAUGAAUAUUAUAUAUUCAAGUGUAGAAGUUAGUAGGAAGUUAAAUACAUGAGUCUGGAAUUCAGGAGAGAAUUCAAGGGUGGAGUUACAAGUGUGGGAGUCAUAGCCACAUAGAUGAUAUUUAAGGUCAUGAUUCAGUAUGAAAUCACUGAGGUCUGUUGUCUUUCUCUACUUUGAAAUCCUCUUCUCCUCCUUUUCAUUCUGCAGCUUCUCUGUUUUCCAGGGUCAGAAGAGAGAUAGAGUGAUAUCAAGGAAGAGGGCAAAAAUUCUUUUUAUUUAAUUGGCACUGUCCAUUGUUCUUUCUUGGCUAUCGCUGGUUGAUCUUGCAUUAUUUUAUUACAAGCUAUACAUGUUAGCUUUUUUGGACAUAUUUGUUAGUUCUUCAGAUACUCCUACACAAAAUACUCUGCAUCAUUUCUUUCUCUGAUGGAGGCAGGAUGGACUCAGGACCACACUUCUCUCAAAUUCUGCCCUGCCAGUUUUUGCUUAUUCUUCCUGCUGGUAAGAAAGAUCUAACAGGAGACUCCUGUGUAAUAUCCCAUAAAGAUGACUUACAUCAUUCUAUUUAUAACUAUGUAAAAAUGUGUAUACAUGGUAAAAUAGACUACAUAAGAUACACUAAAAUGAUGGCAGUAAUUAUGUUAAUAUUGGAUAAUUACUUUCUCAUCUAUUUUCCAAAAUACAUUAGAGUCUGAUUAAAUUUAUUUUUCAAUAAAAAUUAUAGAUAU